GGCAUGCCUUACACAUGCAAGUCGAACGGUAACAGGUCUUCGGAUGCUGACGAGUGGCGAACGGGUGAGUAAUACAUCGGAACGUGCCCGAUCGUGGGGGAUAACGGAGCGAAAGCUUUGCUAAUACCGCAUAAGAUCUACGGAUGAAAGCAGGGGACCGCAAGGCCUUGCGCGAACGGAGCGGCCGAUGGCAGAUUAGGUAGUUGGUGGGAUAAAAGCUUACCAAGCCGACGAUCUGUAGCUGGUCUGAGAGGACGACCAGCCACACUGGGACUGAGACACGGCCCAGACUCCUACGGGAGGCAGCAGUGGGGAAUUUUGGACAAUGGGCGCAAGCCUGAUCCAGCCAUGCCGCGUGCAGGAUGAAGGCCUUCGGGUUGUAAACUGCUUUUGUACGGAACGAAAAGACUCUGGUUAAUACCUGGGGUCCAUGACGGUACCGUAAGAAUAAGCACCGGCUAAC
rnacentral:rRNA from 1 species